rnacentral:tRNA from 1 species
CGGGCAAUAGCGCAGUUGGUAGCGCGCUUGGUUCGGGACCAAGAGGUCGGCGGUUCAAAUCCACCUUGCCCGA